rnacentral:rRNA from 1 species
UACGUAGGGUGCAAGCGUUGUCCGGAAUUAUUGGGCGUAAAGAGCUCGUAGGCGGUUUGUCGCGUCGAAUGUGAAAACCCGGGGCUCAACCCCCGGGCCUGCAUUCGAUACGGGCAGACUAGAGUUCGGUAGGGGGAGUCUGGAAUUCCUGGUGUAGCGGUGAAAUGCGCAGAUAUCAGGAGGAACACCGGUGGCGAAGGCGGGACUCUGGGCCGAUACUGACGUGAGGAGCGAAAGCGUGGGGGAGCAAACAGG